rnacentral:misc_RNA from 1 species
GAUGAAGACGUAGCGAAAUGCGAUACUUGGUGUGAAUUGCAGAAUCCCGUGAACCAUCGAGUCUUUGAACGCAAGUUGCGCCCGAAGCCACUAGGCCGAGGGCACGCCUGCCUGGGCGUCACACGCCGUUGCCCCCCCAUCUACUCCUUCGGGAUUGCGGGGGGCGGAUGAUGGCCUCCUGUGCGCCUAGCCGCGCGGUUGGCAUAAAUACCAAGUCCUCGGCGACGCACGCCACGACAAUCGGUGGUUGCGAAACCUCGGUUGCCCGUCGUGUGCGUUCGUCGCGCAUCGAGGGCUCGAAAAAAUGCUCGGCUCCGGCUGGGCUUUCAACGCGACCCCAGGUCAGGCGGGGUUACCCGCUGAAUUUAAGCAUAUCAAUAAGCGGAGGA